rnacentral:rRNA from 1 species
AGCGAACGUUGGCGGCGCGCCUAACACAUGCAAGUCGAACGCGAAAGGACUUCGGUCCGAGUAGCGUGGCGCACGGGUGAGUAACACGUGAGUAAUCUGCCCUUCAGCUCGGGAUAACAUGCCGAAAGGCGUGCUAAUACCGAAUGAGACCACGGCUCCCUUGGGAGCUGCGAGAAAAGGCGGGGUCCGCAAGGACCUGUCACUGAAGGAUGAGCUCGCGGCCUAUCAGCUAGUUGGCGGGGUAAUGGCCCACCAAGGCUAAGACGGGUAGCUGGUCUGAUAGGAUGAUCAGCCACACUGGGACUGAAACACGGUCCGGACUUCUACGGAAGGCAGCAGUGGGGAAUUUUGCGCAAUGGGCGAAAGCCUGACGCAGCGACGCCGCGUGUGCGAUGAAGGCCUUUGGGUCGUAAAGCACUGUCGGUCGGGACGAAAACUCAUGAGCUAAUACCUCAUGAGCUUGACGGUACUGACAAAGGAAGCACCGGCUAACUCUGUGCCAGCCGCCGCCGUAAAAC